ensembl:lncRNA
GCCAGCUAGUCCAACUUCAGUAACCCUACAAACAGUCACUGCUCUUUAGUUUUCUGUCUUUGUGUAUGUCUGAAGUGAUAGCAGAGCUAUAUAUUUUAAUGUAAUAUAUAUGGCAGGUAGCUCCAUGCCCUCCUGGGUUUUAAAUGCACCUUAGAACACACAUGCAUCAACACUACAAUGAGCGGGUGGAGGGAGGUUUGGAGUCUUCUCUCACCCCCUCUCGGCCUGGGGCUCGGUCAUUUAGGCGCGGCUGGCUGCCGGCGGAGCUCACGGGCGCGUCACUGCAACUCCCCCUGGCUUCUGCUCCGCGGCUGCUGAGUGAGCCCUCAUCUGGGACUCUCCUCAGCUCUUUCUGGGACAGUGGUGCGGCUGCCCCUCUGUUGGUCUUCCUUGGUCUCUUGUGUUCUGGGGGCCUCUGGAUGUCUGGAGUUUUUGAUCUCCUCCAUACCUGCUUCAUGCCCUGGAGGACGGGGCUGUGGCCCCCCCACACCCUCUAGCAGAUCAUUACAUGAAGGAACCUUUAAAAAAAAAAAAAACAAGCACGUCCAUGCUCACAGGUGUACACACGGGUGAUCACACCCACAAACUACACCCUUUUUGGCUCCUACCUCAAAGCACACUGUGUUCUGUUGAUCUUAUGUGCUGCACAAUAAUGUUUAAUAUUUAGUAUUUACUGUCAUAUUCCCAUAUAUCAUUGUGAUGUUGUUUAUUCUAUUACUCUUGUUCUCUUCUGCUUGUUUUCUUUUUUCUUUCUCAGCAGGUGAUCCAGGUGAUUGAUAUAUGCAUUUUUUUUCUUCUUUUUUUUUCUGCUCAUUCUGUUGGUUUUUGUCUUUUGCCCUUCUCCCCCGUCCCUCUUCUCAGCUGUUUCUCUUUCCCUCUUUCUUUCUCCCCUUCUUUCCCCCAGUCAAGUCUGUCCCGUAUUCAGUAAGUGAAAAUAAAAUGAACAAUAAAAGGUGAAUCAAAUGGACCAUUACAGCAAGGCUGGGAUGGUCAAUUUGGUAAAGUAAAUCCGUUGGGCAUCUUUCUUUGCCUUUAGACAAUAAUUCUGAUGGCAAAAGAGCCAAACGGGACAGGCAGCAAAAAAAAAAAAAAAAAAAAAAAAAAAAAAAGUAAUUAAUUUUUUAGAAAUCCCUCAGUCGGAACAUGGUAGAUCAUCUUAAGCGAGCUAACUCCCUGCUAACUUCUAACUCUAUUAAACUUGUUAUAUCCAGUUUUUCAUAGAUGCCUGAAAGCUAAACUUUAUUGUUACACCUGGCAGAGCUGCCACACUGAUCAUUAUAUUAAAAUUGUAAUAAUUUAGACAGUAUUAAACUUUCAGAGAUGCCAUAGUGUUUGUUUGACUUUGGGAAGUGAAGAGAAGUUUGGACCCGGAAACAGCUAAUGAUGUCAGACUUAAGAGGCAGAUAGAAUAAUGCGGAAAAUUCGGAUGUUUCCUUAGCAACUUCUUAGUAGCUUCUAGGAUUUGCCAGAACUUACCACAUAUAAAUUAGAUACAAGUUUGCUCUUUUGUUAGGUUUGAAAUAAGAAAAAUGUCAAAUAUUUAGAGACACCAUUGAGG